UUUUCUGUGGCGCAAUUGGUUAGCGCGUUCGGCUGUUAACCGAAAGGUUGGUGGUUCAAGCACACCCAGAAACG
rnacentral:tRNA from 1 species